rnacentral:rRNA from 1 species
GUGCCAGCAGCCGCGGUAAUACGGAGGGUGCGAGCGUUAAUCGGAAUUACUGGGCGUAAAGGGCGCGUAGGCGGUCGCGCAAGUCGGGUGUGAAAGCCCCGGGCUCAACCUGGGAAUUGCAUUCGAUACUGCGUAACUAGAGUCUGGUAGAGGGAAGCGGAAUUCCGCAUGUAGCGGUGAAAUGCGUAGAUAUGCGGAGGAACACCAGUGGCGAAGGCGGCUUCCUGGACCAAGACUGACGCUGAGGCGCGAAAGCGUGGGGAGCAAACAGGAUUAGAUACCCUGGUAGUCCACGCCCUAAACGAUGAGGACUAGACGUUGGGGGAGUAAAACCCUUUAGUGUCGCAGCUAACGCGUGAAGUCCUCCGCCUGGGGAGUACGGCCGCAAGGUUGAAACUCAAAUGAAUUGGCGG